rnacentral:lncRNA from 1 species
AUGCUCCCCCUCUAUUCUGCCUUGGUCAGACCACACCUGGAAUACUGUGUCCAAUUUUGGGCACCACAGUUGAAGGGAGAUGUUGACAAGCUGGAAAGCGUCCAGAGGAGGGCGACUAAAAUGAUUAAGGGUCUGGAGAACAAGCCCUAUGAGGAGCGGCUUAAAGAGCUGGGCAUGUUUAGCCUGCAGAAGAGAAGGCUGAGAGGAGACAUGAUAGCCAUGUACAAAUAUGUGAAGGGAAGGCAGCAGAAAAUAAGCUUGCUCCCUCCUCCCAAUGACUUCCCCUCACAUAUUUGUACAUUGCUAUCAUGUCUCCUCUCAGCCUUCUCUUCUGCAUGCUAAAAAUGGCCAGCUAUUAAAGCCUCUCCUCAUACUGCUUGUUCUCCAGACCCUUAUUCAUUUUAGUCGCACUCCUCUUGACACUUUCAAGCUUGCCCGCAUCUCCAUUUAUCUGCGGUGACCAAUUAUUCCACGUGUGGUCUGACCAAGGCAGAGUAGAGGGGGAGCAUGACUGACUUGGAUCUAGACGCUAUUCCCCUGUUGAUUCAGGCCUAAAGCCCAUUGGAUAGUUGAUCUGCCGCAACCCAUAGUAGGCUCAUUGUUAUCUUGUUGUCCAGGAGGACUCUCAGAUGUUUUUCUCACACACUGCUGUCAAGCUAGGCGUCCAAAAAACAGUCGCUUGGAUUUCCAUUAUUUAUACCUAAGUGAAGUAGCUUUCAGUUGUCCCUGUUGAACUUAAUAAAGUUACUUUUGGCCCAUCUCUGUAGUCUGAAGUUACAAUACUUUUUCUCUCCUGUAAUACUGACGCAGUAGAGGUAGAAGGAUUUUCUGAGGGAAAUUACUCCAUAAAAGCCAAGGUAGGAAAUGCUUCCUCUUUGGGUUCAGUACGUAUUUCAUUCAAUUCUCUUUUUUUUUUUUGUUGGUCAAAAAUUAUUUCCCUCAUGAGCCAGGACUGUUAGUUCUUCUCCAGAUCCUCGGAGUUCCUGAACAGAAAGAGCACUGUUAUAUUUGUUGUGGAUACUUCGGAUAAUCAUUUUAGGUGAAGGAUUACGCCAGACUCACACUUUUCAGAGAUAUCUGUCCAUCUGAACAUUUGAGGAUGUGUUUUGCCGCAGGGAUUAAUACUACACCUCGACUUUGGCAAGCACUUCUCUAAAUUUUCAUCUUUCACUGUCCCAACGGCUUGAGCGGGUGUGGUCGACGCAGUGGCCGCGGGACGGCCGCCUUUGGGUCCCCUAGCCCUCUGGCCG